UACGAGGGGGGCAAAUGUUGUUCGGGAUCACUGGGCGUAAAGGGAGCGUAGGCGGGUUCUUAAGUUAGGUGUUUAAUCCCGGGGCCCAACCCCGGACCGGCACUUAAAACUGGGAAUCUUGAAUAGUGGAGAGGUCAGUGGAAUUGGGGGUGUAGCGGUGGAAUGCGUAGAGAUCCCCAAGAACACCAGUUGCGAAGGCGGCUGACUGGACACAUAUUGACGCUGAGGCUCGAAAGCAUGGGGAGCAAACAGG
rnacentral:rRNA from 1 species